rnacentral:rRNA from 1 species
UUGGAGGGCAAGUCUGGUGCCAGCAGCCGCGGUAAUUCCAGCUCCAAUAGCGUAUAUUAAAGUUGUUGCAGUUAAAAAGCUCGUAGUUGAAUUUCGGGGUUAGUAGGUUGGUCGUGCCUCAGGUAUGUACUGAUCUCACUGAUUCCUCCUUCCUGAUGAACCGUAAUGCCAUUAAUUUGGUGUUGCGGGGAAUCUGGACUGUUACUUUGAAAAAAUUAGAGUGUUUAAAGCAGGCUAACGCUUGAAUACAUUAGCAUGGAAUAAUGAAAUAGGACGAUCGAUCCUAUUUUGUUGGUUUCUAGGAUUGACGUAAUGAUUAAUAGGGAUAGUUGGGGGCAUUAGUAUUCAAUUGUCAGAGGUGAAAUUCUUGGAUUUAUUGAAGACUAACUACUGCGAAAGCAUUUGCCAAGGAUGUUUUCAUUAAUCAAGAACGAAAGUUAGGGGAUCGAGGACGAUCAGAUGCCGUCGUAGUCUUAACCAUAAACUAUGCCGACUAGGGAUCGGAUGAUGUUAAUUUUUUAAUGACUCAUUCGGCGCCUUACGGGAAA